rnacentral:snoRNA from 1 species
UGGAUUGAUGAUGACCACCGGUGGCAUGUGAGUUAUAGAUGAUGAAUAGAUGUCUGGAACUCUGAGUUCCAU